CGGGGGGCUCCAAUGCUGGGCUGGGUUUAGGGUCUUAAUUCUGGACUAUCAACGUCAGACAGACACCCGAUGUCUCACUAAGUCCAGUUCACACCCAUCACCUGGGAGCGAGAGAGCUUCUCCUUCCCGAGUCUGAAGACCAGCUCUCCGUCAGCUCUCACACCCGCUGCGGUACUGCGAGCUCGUCGCCAGGCUGCACAGGACAGCUGGCGACAUUGCUUAAGGCUGCAAGUUUGUGCCCUUUGACCUUCGACCCACUGUCACUCCCCGCCCUCAACCUCCGACGACCACACCUCCGUUCUCCGAGUCAGCCCAGGUUGUUUGUUUGUUUAAGAUUCCAUGUGGAGGUGAGAUCCCUUGUCUCUUUUUGGCUGUGCCUGCAGCAGAAACUCCCGGGCCGGGAUCAAACCCACGCCACAGCAGUGACGAGGCCAGGUCCUUAAGCUGCUGCGUCGCCAGAGGACUCCAUACAUUUGUCUUUCUGCCUGAUUUCACUUAGCAUAAUGCCCUCGCGCUACACCCACGCUGUCACAAACGGCAGGGUUUCUUUUUUCACAGCUGAGCCUAAGCGUAUUCUACCGAGAACACGUGCCACGCCUUCGUCCAGUCACCCAUCGAUGGCCGCUGAGGUUGCUUCCAAGUCUUGGCGACUGUAACUAAUGCUGCAGUGAACACAGGGAUGCAUGCAUCCUUUUGAAUUAGUGUUUUCAUUUUCUUUGGAGAAAUACCCAAACGUGGAAAUGCUGGAACACACGGUAGUUUUAUUUUUAUUUAUUUUGCUUUUUAGGGCUACGCCUGCAGCACAUGGAGGUUCCCAGGCUAAGGGCUGAAUUGGAGCUUCAGCAAAGUGGGAUCCUUAACCCAUCGAGCGAGGCCAGGGAUCGAACCCACAUCCCUAUGGAUACUAGUCGGGUCCAUUACCACUGGGCUGCAAGGGGCACGCCGACGGCUUUAUUUUCAGUGUUUUGAGGCGUCUCCAGUUUUCCACAGUGGCAGCGCCAGUUUACAUCCAUCAACAGUGCACCAGGCGCUUUGCCAUGUCCCCACACGUGUCCUCUGCUGCCUUUUGGGUAAUGGCCAUUCUGACGGGUGAGGUUGCCUUUCCCGGAUAAUUAGAGAUGCUGAGCAUCUUUUCAUGUACCCGCUGGCCAUCUGUAGGUCUUCCAUGGAAAAAUGUCUAUUUGGGUCCUUUGCCCGUUUUUCAUUGGGAAUCAUUUGUUUCUUUCGCUAGGAAGCUCUCGGUUCCUUGCAUAUGGUGGACAUCAGCCCCCAGUCAGAUGUGCGGUUUGCAAAUACUCCCUCCCGUUCUGCAGGCGCCUUUAAUCUCGCGGGUCUCCCGUGCUGCCAGGAGCUUUCUGGUUGGAUGCGGGCGCACUAGUUUACGUCUGCUUCCGUUGCCUUGGCUUUGGGCAUCGGGUCCAAAACACCAUCAGCACCUGUGUCGAGGAGCUUGCUUCCUGCCUGUGUUCUCUUCGAGGACUUUUAUAGUUUCAGGCCUUAUCUUCUGUACUCCAUUUUGCGUUGGUUUUGUCUAUGGUGUAGGGCAGAGGUCUAGUUUUCUUCUUCUGCCUGCAGCUGUCCAGCUGACUGAAGGGCCUGCCCUGCCCUGUGCCCUCGCCUCCUCUGCUGUGCUUUAACCAACCGUGUGAGUGUGGGUUUCCUUCCAGGCUCUCUACUCUGUUCCACUCAUCUAUGGGUCUGUUUUUGGCCAGGACCAUCAUACUUGCUGCUUUGAUGAGUGUAGGUUUGUAACAGUUUGAAACCAGCUUUGUUCUGUCUUCAAGAUUGCUUUGACAACUUGGGGUCUCUUGUGGUUCCAUAAAACUUUGGGCUUGCUUCCUCUGUUUCUGUGAAGAAUGUCACUGGGGUUUUAGGGGAACUGCUUCGGGCAGCCUGGCCAUUUUAACAUCAAUUCUUUCGAUCCAUGAGCAUGGAAUAUCCAUUUAUUUGGGUCUUCUUCAGUUUCUUUCAUCAAUGUCAAGAGUUUUCAGUGUAGUUUUUUUACCUCCUUGGUUAAAUUUACUCCUAGGUAUUUUAUUCUUUUUGGUGCAGUUAUAAACGGGACUGUUAGUUUCUCUGACAGUUUAUUUUCAGUGUACAGAAAAACAAUAUAUAUAUAAUAUGUAAAUUUCUGUAUAUUCGUCCUGUGUCCUGCAACUUUACUGAGCUCACUUAUUAGUUCUAACAGGUUUUGGAUAGUCUUUAUUUUUUUUGGUGGAGUAUAUAUAAUGUUAUCUGCAAGAAGUGACAAUUUUACUUCUUCCUUUCCAAUUUGGCUUGCUUCUCUUUUUCGUGCCUUACUGCUCUGGCUAGGAUUUCCAAUAUGAUGUUUUUUGACUUGUUUUGUUUAGCUGCACCCACAGCACAUGGAAGUUCCUGGGCCAAGGACUGAAUCAAGCCUCAGAUACAACCUAUGCCACAGCUGCAGCAACACCGGUUCCUUGAACCCAUGACGCCAGGCUGGGGAUUGAACCUGCACCUGCAGCUACCUGAGCUGCUGCAGAUUCUAAACCCACUGUGCUACAGUGGGAACUCCUCCAAUAGAACAUUGAAUCGAAGUGGUGAGAGUGGACAUCCUUGUCUUGUUCUGAUUUUAGAGGAAAGCUUUCAGCUUUUCACCAUUGAGUAUGUUAGCUGUGGGCUUGUACUAUAUGGCCUAUAUUAUGCUGAAGGCACUUUACCUUGAAAAAAAAAUUAGAACAGCUGCCUAUCAAGAGGGACCCGGUUAAGGCACCUGGAGCAGUCCCACGUGCACCAUGUGCCCAGACGGGAGGCCCUGAGAGACACCCAGGGAAGGCAAGUGAGGUGGAUGGGGGCAGUGGGGGCUUUCUGCUCACUCACACGUGUGCAUGUGCACGGAGAUGCUUGGGAGGGGCCCGGGAGGGGGUCCCACGGCUUGUCUCUGGGGAGGGGGUCUGCAGGGAGGAGGGGGGUUUCCCUGUGACUCAGACGCACAGGCUGGAAUCAAGAGUGGUAGGCACACUCCUGCCCCACCGCCAAGUCUUGUACAUCCCCAGACGAGGGAUCGAACCUGAGCCACAGCAGCAACCUGAGCUGCUACAGGGACAAUACCAGGUCCUUAACCUGCUGCAUCACAAGGGAACUCACAUUUUACUUUAAUGGUACAUUUUGAUGAAAAGUUUCCAACACUUGUCUUUCAAAUAUCAGAGUUUUUGCAGCUUAAGAAAUCUUGGUUGUGAGUUCCCAUCGUGGUGCAGCAGAAACGAAUCCGACUAGGAACCAUAAGGUGGCGGGUUUGAUCCCUGGCCUCACUCAGUGGGUUAAGGAUCUGGUGUUCCCGUGAGCUGUGGUGUAGGUCGCAGAUGUGGCUUGGAUCUGGUGUUGCUGCGGCUGUGGUGUAGGCCGGCAGCUGUAGCUCCAAUUAGACCCCUUGCCUGGGAACCUCCAUAUG
rnacentral:lncRNA from 1 species